GACGAACGCUGGCGGCGUGCUUAACACAUGCAAGUCGAACGGAAAGGCCCUGCUUGCAGGGUACUCGAGUGGCGAACGGGUGAGUAACACGUGGGUGAUCUGCCCUGCACUUCGGGAUAAGCCUGGGAAACUGGGUCUAAUACCGGAUAGGAGCCAUUUUUAGUGUGAUGGUUGGAAAGUUUUUUCGGUGUAGGAUGAGCUCGCGGCCUAUCAGCUUGUUGGUGGGGUAAUGGCCUACCAAGGCGGCGACGGGUAGCCGGCCUGAGAGGGUGGACGGCCACAUUGGGACUGGGAUACGGACCAGACUCCUACGGGAGGCAGCAGUGGGGAAGAUUGAACAAUGGGCGCAAGCCUGAUGCAGCGACGCCGCGUGGGGGAUGACGGCCUUCGGGUUGUAAACUCCUUUCGCUAGGGACGAAGCUUUUUGUGACGGUACCUAGAGAAGAAGCACCGGCUAACUACGUG
rnacentral:rRNA from 1 species